rnacentral:snoRNA from 1 species
GGGGUGUGCUCAGAGCAGGGGCCUGAAGAAUGGCUCUUCUGUUUACCAAACGCCCAACAGGAAUCUCGGGACACUGUAUAAGGGACACAAAACUAGUGGCCCUCCUAUGAACAAAUGCCUACAUUG